rnacentral:rRNA from 1 species
GAUGAACGAUGGCGGCGUGCCUAAUACAUGCAAGUCGAGCGAACGGACGAGGAGCUUGCUUCUCUGACGUUAGCGGCGGACGGGUGAGUAACACGUGGAUAACCUACCUAUAAGACUGGGAUAACUUCGGGAAACCGGAGCUAAUACCGGAUAAUAUUUUGAACCGCAUGGUUCAAAAGUGAAAGACGGUCUUGCUGUCACUUAUAGAUGGAUCCGCGCUGCAUUAGCUAGUUGGUAAGGUAACGGCUUACCAAGGCAACGAUGCAUAGCCGACCUGAGAGGGUGAUCGGCCACACUGGAACUGAGACACGGUCCAGACUCCUACGGGAGGCAGCAGUAGGGAAUCUUCCGCAAUGGGCGAAAGCCUGACGGAGCAACGCCGCGUGAGUGAUGAAGGUCUUCGGAUCGUAAAACUCUGUUAUUAGGGAAGAACAUAUGUGUAAGUAACUGUGCACAUCUUGACGGUACCUAAUCAGAAAGCCACGGCUAACUACGUG